AUAGAAUCUGCAUCUAAAGUAGACCUGCAGUCAUGCCUAGAGAAAAAUUUGAGGGAACUAGUCCAGUGCUGUUUCUUCAGAGCUGCAUGGAGAGAGAAGGGUAACAAAAUACCCUAAGAAACAUUGCCCUUCAUCAUUCCAUACCCUUAAACACUUACCGGACCAUGGAUGGUGAUCUUCUCCACAGGCUAAAAUAAAUUCUGGUGGAGCACAGAAUGUUACUCUGUCUCCUAGACUGAAGUACAGUGACGUGAUCUCAGCUCACUGCAACCUCUGGCUGUCGAGCUUCAAGUGAUUUGAUUCUCAUGACUCAGCCUCCCAAGUAGCUGGAAUGGCAGGACCCCAGGCUCCGGCUUCACCGAGAUAUGGCUGUAUCUGCUGAUUUUAAGAGGACCGUCCAAAGGAGUCCUUGGAAGCCACCGUGCUUCACAGAGAUUCUCAAUAAGGGAGCUGAGCAACAUCCCAUAAGAGAGAAGGGAAUGCAGGGUAAUGUUCCACAUGAAUGUUCACCAAAGGGUAACCGCAGUAGAGGAGGCUUUUAAUAAUCAAGUGGUUUGGAAGAUUCAUUCUGUCAGUCAGUCAGCUUCUCUCUCCAGACAGUCCUGUCAUCUCCCAACAGAUUCAUGGACAAAGUGGUCAUGGUGGCAGUAACUGAAGUUGUG